rfam:Aedes aegypti strain Liverpool supercont1.389 genomic scaffold, whole genome shotgun sequence.
UCACCGACCCUUUUCAGGGUCAACAAAUGUGUACUAAAGAGUUAUUU